UACGUAGGGUGCAAGCGUUAUCCGGAAUUAUUGGGCGUAAAGAGCUCGUAGGCGGUUUGUCGCGUCUGCUGUGAAAACCGGAGGCUCAACCUCCGGCCUGCAGUGGGUACGGGCAAACUAGAGUGCGGUAGGGGAGAUUGGAAUUCCUGGUGUAGCGGUGGAAUGCGCAGAUAUCAGGAGGAACACCGAUGGCGAAGGCAGAUCUCUGGGCCGUAACUGACACUAAUGGACGAAAGCUAGGGGAGCGAAUGGG
rnacentral:rRNA from 1 species